rnacentral:snRNA from 1 species
AUUGCUUCUCGGCAUUUUGGCUAAGAUCAAGUGUAGUAUCUGUUCUUAUCAGUUUAAUAUCUGAUACGCCCUCUAUCUAGUUAUCAAGAUACGUUAUGAGUUUUAAACUACAUCUUUAGGAGGCAUGAGUUCUAUCCUCAUUUCAUCCUUU